rfam:Legionella drancourtii LLAP12 genomic scaffold scf_42, whole genome shotgun sequence.
CCAUCCAUGCUACUGGAUGAACCUACGAUCCUGAAUAAAGAGCGGAUCGGACAAAGUAGCGAAACACGCAAGUGUGGGA